rnacentral:rRNA from 1 species
AUUGAACGCUGGCGGAAUGCUUUACACAUGCAAGUCGAACGGCAGCACGGGGCAACCUGGUGGCGAGUGGCGAACGGGUGAGUAAUACAUCGGAACGUGCCCAAUCGUGGGGGAUAACGUAGCGAAAGUUACGCUAAUACCGCAUACGAUCUACGGAUGGAAGCGGGGGAUCGCAAGACCUCGCGCGAAUGGAGCGGCCGAUGUCAGAUUAGGUAGUUGGUGGGGUAAAGGCUCACCAAGCCAACGAUCUGUAGCUGGUCUGAGAGGACGACCAGCCACACUGGAACUGAGACACGGUCCAGACUCCUACGGGAGGCAGCAGUGGGGAAUUUUGGACAAUGGGCGCAAGCCUGAUCCAGCCAUUCCGCGUGCAGGAUGAAGGCCUCGGUUGUAACUAGCUUUGUUACGG